AGUCGAACGAUGCCUUCGGGCAUAGUGGCAGACGGGUGAGUAACGCGUGGGAAUAUACCUUUCGGUACGGAACAACAGUUGGAAACGACUGCUAAUACCGUAUGCGCCCUAUGGGGGAAAGAUUUAUCGCCGAGGGAUUAGCCCGCGUUGGAUUAGCUAGUUGGUGGGGUAAUGGCCUACCAAGGCGACGAUCCAUAGCUGGUCUGAGAGGAUGAUCAGCCACACUGGGACUGAGACACGGUCCAGACUCCUACGGGAGGCAGCAGUGGGGAAUAUUGGACAAUGGGGGCAACCCUGAUCCAGCCAUGCCGCGUGAGUGAUGAAGGCCCUAGGGUUGUAAAGCUCUUUCAGCGAGGAGGAUAAUGACGUUACUCGCAGAAGAAGCCCCGGCUAACUUCGUGCCAGCAGCCGCGGUAAUACGAAGGGGGCUAGCGUUGUUCGGAAUCACUGGCCGUACGUUUUACAGUAGGCGGAUUGAUCAGUCAGGGGUGAAAUCCCGGGGCUCAACCCCGGAACUGCCUUUGAUACUGUCAGUCUUGAGUCCGAGAGAGGUGAGUGGAAUUCCGAGUGUAGAGGUGAAAUUCGUAGAUAUUCGGAGGAACACCAGUGGCGAAGGCGGCUCACUGGCUCGAUACUGACGCUGAGGUGCGAAAGUGUGGGGAGCAAACAGGAUUAGAUACCCUGGUAGUCCACGCCGUAAACGAUGAAUGCCAGUCGUCGGGUAGCAUGC
rnacentral:rRNA from 1 species